UACGUAGGGUGCGAGCGUUGUCCGGAAUUAUUGGGCGUAAAGAGCUUGUAGGCGGUCUGUCGCGUCUGCUGUGAAAAUCCGGGGCUCAACCCCGGACUUGCAGUGGGUACGGGCAGACUAGAGUGUGGUAGGGGAGACUGGAAUUCCUGGUGUAGCGGUGAAAUGCGCGAGAUAUCUGGAGGAACACCGGUGGCGAAGGCGGCAUCCUGGACCGAGAUCGACGCGUGAGG
rnacentral:rRNA from 1 species